rnacentral:rRNA from 1 species
CUACGGGAGGCAGCAGUUAGGAAUCUUGCGCAAUGGGCGAAAGCCUGACGCAGCGAUGCCGCGUGCGGGAUGAAGGCCUUCGGGUCGUAAACCGCUUUCAGCAGGGACGAUAAUGACGGUACCUGCAGAAGAAGCCCCGGCCAACUACGUGCCAGCAGCCGCGGUAAUACGUAGGGGGCGAGCGUUGUCCGGAUUUAUUGGGCGUAAAGAGCUCGUAGGCGGUCUGGUAAGUCGGGUGUGAAAUCUCCACGCUCAACGUGGAGGGGCCACUCGAUACUGCCAUGACUCGAGUCCGGUAGAGGAGUGUGGAAUUCCCGGUGUAGCGGUGAAAUGCGCAGAUAUCGGGAGGAACACCCGUAGCGAAGGCGGCACUCUGGGCCGGAACUGACGCUGAGGAGCGAAAGCGUGGGGAGCAAACAGGAUUAGAAACCCCAGUAGUCC